rnacentral:rRNA from 1 species
GACGAACGCUGGCGGCGUGCUUAACACAUGCAAGUCGAACGGAAAGGCCCUGCUUUUGUGGGGUGCUCGAGUGGCGAACGGGUGAGUAACACGUGAGUAACCUGCCCUUGACUUUGGGAUAACUUCAGGAAACUGGGGCUAAUACCGGAUAGGAGCUCCUGCUGCAUGGUGGGGGUUGGAAAGUUUCGGCGGUUGGGGAUGGACUCGCGGCUUAUCAGCUUGUUGGUGGGUAGUGGCUUACCAAGGCUUUGACGGGUAGCCGGCCUGAGAGGGUGACCGGCCACAUUGGGACUGAGAUACGGCCCAGACUCCUACGGGAGGCAGCAGUGGGGAAUAUUGCACUAUGGGCGGAAGCCUGAUGCAGCAACGCCGCGUGCGGGAUGACGGCCUUCGGGUUGUAAACCGCUUUCGCCUGUGACGAAGCGUGAGUGACGGUAAUGGGUAAAGAAGCACCGGCUAACUACGUG